rnacentral:lncRNA from 10 species
GAGGAGGCCGGGAGCACGUGGGUUGGGGACCUGCAGAGCCCCGCCUGUCCUCGGCCUACCGCGGCGAGCAGGCAUUCCGGGUCAGACCGGCGCGGGGCGCUGCGGCCCAACUCCUUAGUAGGACGACGUGACUCGAGGGGCCGGAGGACGGAGGUGGGAGCCCGGGCUAGAGGGUGGAGGCUGGGGAGGUUGCCUGGUCACUCUGGCGCUCCGCUGCCGGGGGCAUCCUCCGGCCCAGCAAAGGUGCAGCCUGGGAAGAAGGCGUCAGCACCACCCAGAGAAGAGGAGAGGGGACUUGGCACGCCUCAGGAAGGAAAAAAGGAAGGCUCUCGGGACCACCCAAUAAGCAACCGGGAAACCACAUACCAUGGACAGUGCUCGGGGAAUUUCGGCUCCUCCUCAUCCCUGGAGGUUCCAGGGAUCUGGCAGAGAAAGAAGCCCAGUCUCACAGCAAUGACUCCUGAACAUCCUUUGCAAACACUAUUUAGGACAGAUGGACUGAAGUAGGCCCUGGGGAGAGUUGGGGGCAUUUCCGGAGGCCAGACCAAAGGUGAUCUCCAGGAGAUUUGGAUGUUAGUGCAGGAUAGCUCAGAGCCAAGUGGCAGAUAAGUCUUUGGGAGCCAGAAGGGCUCUUUCUUCUCUAAGGAACAAGUGUAGACCUAUAGGGGCAAGAACCUGUGGCAACCCUGGGAGAGGUCUGCAGAUUCAGGAGGGAACAUCCCAAAACUCAGCAGAGGAGGAGAGGGAGCUUUUGUUGGUCACCUGGAACCACUACCAAUCCAUGUUCAUGUCAAAUUAAAUGAUCACUUUGAAGUUUUUCAGCCUACCAAAAUCAUGUGAAUUUGGUCUGCAAAACCAGACGACUGCCUGCUUGCAGUUAAGAAUUCUCAGCGGGAGGCCGGGCGCAGUGGCUCAUGCCACCAGCACUUUGGGAGGCUGAGGAGGGAAGGUGGAACUAAGGAUCCCGAAUCCGUUUGGAGGCAGAGAGGGGCCAACAGGGUGUUUGAAGGGAGCAAAGGCAUCGAAAUUUUUGGAGCAUCUAGAACUGGGGCAGUGAAUGCAGAAGAGUGGGAGCACACACACGUUUCUCCUCCUUGACCCAGAAUGGGCACAGCCUUCAGAGAGCUCUUGCCAGCUCCUCACUCUAGCCUGGGUGAAGGGGGCAUCUGUGCCAAAGCAGGAAGGCACACAGGCGGAUUGGAAGGAAUUUCUCUCAGCAGCGUCAAAUGCCUGAGGGAUCUCGCCCUCGACCCUCUCCAUCUCUCAUGGUACUCUCAUUCACCCCCGGCUGCAGCUCCUGCCUCUGUGCUGACAGCUGUCACAUCAAUCCAGCCCAGACCUCCCUCGGCAGCUCUAGACCAGCAGAUCCCACUGCCUCCUGACAACCCCUCUGGAUGUCCCACAGUUCCUCAGACUUAGCAUCCUUUCCAAAUCCAUGCCCCCAUCUCAUUUCCAAAAAAGAAAAAUCAUAGAGGCCUCCCCAAUACAAAUGCAUAGGACAUGGGAAACAAGGUUUGAAAGGAUAUCCAGAAAAGCUUAGGGAUAGCCCUGGCCUUUUGGAGGUGACUUGGGGGUGGUAUGAGAGGCCAGAGUCAGCAGUAACUUCUCCUUUCUUCCCCACGAAGGUGUGGACUUCUUAGCUUCCUGUCCUUUUCGUACCAUUUGCCAAAUUGAAUUUAAAUAAUUAUUACUGUAAUUGCUUACUUAUUGUCUGUCUCUCCUGGUUGAAGCUUCUCAAGGGCAGGGAUCAUGUCUGUUUCACUUCUGUAUCCUUGGCAUCUGUCAUAUAAUCAGUAUCUGACAUAUAAUAGGUGCUUAAUAAAUAUUUGUUUGAAUUAAUGAAUAUCCUUGUUCAUCACCCAAGAUGCAGAUCCUGCUGGGGCCCUUAUCUUUUCCUGCCUCCUUAUCCACAUGGAGCUCUGUGCUUUGCUCACCGGAGCCAGCACCCCACCGCACCCUCUACCAACCCUCGGUUUUUUUCAGAUGCCCUCAUGCCCUGGGCUGCUUCAUGGAAUGUGGAUAGUGAGUUAACCAUGCUGGCCUGUCUGCAAGCAGAGGCAUGUGUAUAUCUGACAAGGCACCCUCAAGACAAUUCCCUGGAUG